rnacentral:lncRNA from 1 species
CUGGAUAGAUCUUCAUGGUUUGGCUUCACGGUGAGACAGACUUGUGACUUGAAUGCGGAAGCUCAGCUCAGGUUCUGAUGAACCUGGCUCUGAUACCAUGUGAGAUUUUCAGAGCCCUGGCUAUGUAUGUGUAUGAAAACGCCAUUAAAGGCAAAGAUAAGGUCUUGAACUAGUUGAAUAAGAGGUAUGAUGAAACUAGUAUGAACUUGAAUCAGAAACAAAGAGACUUUGAGAGAUUAAGAGAUUAGAGACUAAGAAAGGGGUAGAUUAAGGGAAUCGGAUCAAGAACACACUUUUAUAAUUAUGAAGGAGAUGGG